rnacentral:rRNA from 1 species
UUACCUGGUUUGUCCUGCCAGUAGUCAUAUGCUUGUCUCAAAGAUUAAGCCAUGCAUGUGUAAGUACGUACCUUCCUUAGAGUGAAACCGCAAACGGCUCAUUAAAUCAGUCAUAAUCUAUUGGGUGUCGAUUAUCCGUUUACUCGGAUAACCGUGGCAAUUCUAGAGCUAAUACGUGCGAUUAAGCCCCGACGCCUUCCUCGAGAACAAGCCAUUCUCCCUCGGCCGCCCUCUUCUUUCUUAUUUCCAACCUAACCUAGGUUUGUUUGAGAAAGUUGUUGGCGCGCGCUCGAUCGCGAAUGGCUCUCGAUAGGAAGGGGGAAGGGCGCAGUUAUUAGAACCAUAAACCGAGACGGGCUUUCGGGUCCGAACUCAAUUUAUUUUUUUAUGUUUAAAAUAAAACUCCGGUAUAUGGUGACUCUGGAUAACCUAGCCAAGCGCUAAGGCCUUUUUUAGUGCCGGCGCUGCGCCCUUCGAGUGACUGCCCUAUCAGCUUUCGAUUGUAGGAUAUUCGCCUACGAUGGCUGUAACGGGUAACGGGGAAUCAGGGUUCGAUUCCGGAGAGGGAGCCUGAGAAACGGCUACCACAUCUAAGGAAGGCAGCAGGCACGCAAAUUACCCACUCCCGGCUCGGGGAGGUAGUGACGAAAAAUACCGAUGCGGGACUCAUCCGAGGCCUCGCAAUCGGAAUGAGCUCACUAUAAAAAAGUGGGCGAGGAUCGAUUGGAGGGCAAGUCUGGUGCCAGCAGCCGCGGUAAUUCCAGCUCCAAUAGCGUAUAUUAAAGUUGCUGCGGUUAAAAAGCUCGUAGUUGGAAUUUCGGUUCGUACCGUCGGACCACCCGAGGCGCGACCUCUCUCUUUUUUUUUUUCUUAUUUUACCGAGGGUUUUCGCGUUAACGUAUAUAUAUACGCGUACGAGAUCGUUGGCGGUGUGCUACCUACUGAAAUGGAAAGAAAAGUUUUUAUUUUGAUUUUAAUAUCGGUACUACGCACACCUCCUCGUUUCGUACGUUCACUAUAUAUAUACAGCGUCUUCUCCUCGCGUAAAAAAAAUUAAUUAAAUUAAAGGAGAGGCCACCGCGCCGGGUGGACUAAAAGCCGUUCGGUUACGAAUUUGAAAUGAAAACUAAAACUUUUCGUCGGCUCUCACGGGGUGCUCUUUACCGAGUGUCCCGCGUGGCCGACGACGAUCGCUUUGAACAAAUUAGAGUGCUCAAAGCAGGCUAAAAAAAUUGUUAUGCCCGAAUAACAAUGCAUUGAACGAUGGAACAGGACCUCGGUUCUGCACUCGUUAUAAUUUUUUUUUCUCGGUUUUUGCCCGAAUCCGAGGUAAUGAUUAACGGGAACGGUCGGGGGCAUUAGUAUUGCGACGCGAGAGGUGAAAUUCUGUGACCGUCGCAAGACUACCUACUGCGAAAGCAUUUGCCAAGAACGUCUCCAUUAAUCAAGAACGAAAGUUAGAGGAUCGAAGGCGAUCAGAUACCGCCCUAGUUCUAACCUUAAACGAUGCCAACUAGCGAUCCGCGUACCAGUCAUUCCCAAGACUGCGCGGGAAGCUCUCGGGAAACCAAAGUUUUUGGGUUCCGGGGGUAGUAUGGUUGCAAAGCUGAAACUUAAAGGAAUUGACGGAAGGGCACCACCAGGAGUGGAGCCUGCGGCUUAAUUUGACUCAACACGGGAAACCUCACCAGGCCCGGACACCGGAAGGAUUGACAGAAUGAGAGCUCUUUCUCGAUUCGGUGCAUGGUGGUGCAUGGCCGUUCUUAGUUGGUGGAGCGAUUUGUCUGGUUAAUUCCGAUAACGAACAAGACUCUGGCCUACUAAAUAGUCGGCGGAUCGUUUCCCGAGGCGGUUCGCUUCGCGUUUCGCUCUUUAAAAGAAAUUUGCGCGUACGCGGCUAAAAAGGGAGUUUGCUAUCGCGUGUUGGUUGGCCGUAGAGGACGAGAAGCUAGAGGAGGAGGGGAAGGGGUUCUACCCUUUCUUCUUCUUCUUCUUCUCUUUCCCUCUUCGGCUUUUCUUUUCCCGCGAUAGUUUUUCUCUCUCGCUGCGCGUUCUUUUCCUCUCGAGCGUUCGCGAGCGUCGCCAAAGGGGCGUCCGUCGCCGAAAAUUAAAUCUUCUUAGAGGGACCGGCGGUCUCGAGCCGUACGAGAAAGAGCAAUAACAGGUCUGUGAUGCCCUUAGAUGUCCUGGGCCGCACGCGCGCUACAAUGAAGGAAGCAGCGUGCUUUCCCCCUCCGAAAGGAGUCUGGGUAACCCGUUGAAACUCCUUCCCGAUUGGGAUUGGGGGUUGCAACGGUUGCCCAUGAACGAGGAAUUCCUUGUAAGCGCGGGUCAUUAGCUCGCGAUGAAUACGUCCCUGCCCUUUGUACACACCGCCCGUCGCUACUACCGAUGAAUGAUUAAGUGAGAGCGUCGGACCGAGCGCCCCUUUAUAGUUCGCUGUUUGCUCGACGUCAUUUUCUUGGCGGGCCGAGUUAUUCCGCGCGUGGGGAGGUUCGGGAAGACGUCCGAAACUUGAUUAUUUAGAGGAAGUAAAAGUCGUAACAAGGUUGCUGUAAGGUGAACCUGC